rnacentral:rRNA from 1 species
GAGACACGGCCCAGACUCCUACGGGAGGCAGCAGUGGGGAAUUUUGGACAAUGGGGGAAACCCUGAUCCAGCCAUCCCGCGUGUGCGAUGAAGGCCUUCGGGUUGUAAAGCACUUUUGGCAGGAAAGAAACGUCGCGGGUUAAUACCCCGCGAAACUGACGGUACCUGCAGAAUAAGCACCGGCUAACUACGUGCCAGCAGCCGCGGUAAUACGUAGGGUGCAAGCGUUAAUCGGAAUUACUGGGCGUAAAGCGUGCGCAGGCGGUUCGGAAAGAAAGAUGUGAAAUCCCAGAGCUUAACUUUGGAACUGCAUUUUUAACUACCGGGCUAGAGUGUGUCAGAGGGAGGUGGAAUUCCGCGUGUAGCAGUGAAAUGCGUAGAUAUGCGGAGGAACACCGAUGGCGAAGGCAGCCUCCUGGGAUAACACUGACGCUCAUGCACGAAAGCGUGGGGAGCAAACAGGAUUAGAUACCCUGGUAGUCCACGCCCUAAACGAUGUCAACUAGCUGUUGGGGCCUUCGGGCCUUGGUAGCGCAGCUAACGCGUGAAGUUGACCGCCUGGGGAGUACGGUCGCAAGAUUAAAACUCAAAGGAAUUGACGGG